CUCUCACACCCAGCACUCUCACACCCAUCACACACAGCACUCUCUCACACAGCACUCACACCAUCACACUCACAGCACUCUCACAGAGCACUCUCACACACACACAGCACUCUCUCACAGCACUCUCACACCCAUCACACUCACAGCACUCUCACAGAGCACUCUCUCACACACAUCUCACACAGCACUCUCACACACGGCACUCUCACACCCAUCACUCACACACGGCACUCUCACACGGCACUCUCACACAUACCGCACCCCUCUCACACACACCGCACCCCUCACACACACACCGCACCCUUACACACACACAUACU